AAAGGACUGCUAAUACCUUAUAAGCUCCCGGUGUUUAGAAAACUGGGAGAAAAGUUCCGGCGCUUUGGGCGGGGACUGCGGACCAUCAGCUAGUUGGUGUGGUAACGGCACACCAAGGCGACGACGGAUAGGGGACCUGAGAGGGUGGCCCCCCACACUGGAACUGAGACACGGUCCAGACUCCUACGGGAGGCAGCAGUGAGGAAUAUUGCACAAUGGGCGCAAGCCUGAUGCAGCGACGCCGCGUGGGUGAUGAAGGUUUUCGGAUCGUAAAGCCCUUUUCUAGAUGACGAGUAAGGACGGUAGUCUAGGAAUAAGUGUCGGCUAACUACGUGCCAGCAGCCGCGGUAAAACGUAGGACACAAGCGUUAUCCGGAGUUACUGGGCGUAAAGGGCGUGUAGGCGGACCUGUAAGUCUAUUCUGAAGCUCCUGGCUAAACUGGGAGAGGCGAAUGGAGACUGCAGAUCUAGAGUGAGGAAGAGGAAAGUGGAAUUCCGCGUGUAGUGGUGAAAUGCGUAGAGAUGCGGAGGAACACCAGUGGCGAAAGCGACUUUCUGGUCCUUAACUGACGCUGAGGCGCGAAAGCAUGGGGAGCGAACGGGAUUAGAAACCCCGGUAGUCCAUGCCAUAAACGAUGUUCACUAAACGUUCGUUUCCCGCGAGGGAAGCGGGUGUUGAAGCCAACGCAGUAAGUGAACCGCCUGGGGAGUACGGUCGCAAGGCUAAAACUCAAAGGAAUUGACGGGGGACCGCACAAGCAGCGGAGCGUGUGGUUUAAUUCGAGGCUACACGAAGAACCUUACCUGGGUUUGACAUCGUGUUGAAGUGCCCAUGAAAGUGGGUAUGCCUCGCAAGAGGCAAUACGACAGGUGCUGCAUGGCUGUCGUCAGCUCGUGCCGUGAGGUGUUCGGUUAAGUCCGCAAACGAGCGCAACCCCUCGGUGCCCAGUUACAAGUGUCUGGCCCGACUGCCCGUGGCAAACGGGAAG
rnacentral:rRNA from 1 species